rnacentral:rRNA from 1 species
GACGAACGCUGGCGGCGUGCUUAACACAUGCAAGUCGAACGGUAAGGCCCUUCGGGGUACACGAGUGGCGAACGGGUGAGUAACACGUGGGUGAUCUGCCCUGCACUUCGGGAUAAGCCUGGGAAACUGGGUCUAAUACCGGAUAGGACUCCGGACUGCAUGGUCUGGGGUGGAAAGCUUUUGCGGUGUGGGAUGGGCCCGCGGCCGAUCAGCUUGUUGGUGGGGUGAUGGCCUACCAAGGCGACGACGGGUAGCCGGCCUGAGAGGGUGACCGGCCACACGGGGACUGAGAUACGGCGCAGACGCCUACGGGAGGCAGCAGUGGGGAAUAUUGCACAAUGGGCGCAAGCCUGAUGCAGCGACGCCGCGUGAGGGAUGACGGCCUUCGGGUUGUAAACCUCUUUCAGCAGGGAAGAAGCGAAAGUGACGGUACCUGCAGAAGAAGCACCGGCUAACUACGUGCCAGCAGCCGCGGUAA